UACGUAGGGGGCAAGCGUUGUCCGGAAUCGUUGGGCGUAAAGCGCGUGUAGGCGGUCCGGUAAGUCCGCUGUGAAAGUCGGGGGCUCAACCCUCGAAUGCCGGUGGAUACUGUCGGGCUAGAGUGCGGAAGAGGCGAGUGGAAUUCCUGGUGUAGCGGUGAAAUGCGCAGAUAUCAGGAGGAACACCAAUUGCGAAGGCAGCUCGCUGGGACGUUACUGACGCUGAGACGCGAAAGCGUGGGGAGCAAACAGG
rnacentral:rRNA from 1 species